UACGAAGGGGGCGAGCGUUGUUCGGAUUUACUGGGCGUAAAGGGCGCGCAGGCGGUUCUGUUUGUCGAGUGUGAAAGCCCCGGGCUCAACCUGGGAACUGCGCUCGAAACGGCGGAACUAGAGUUCGGGAGAGGAGAGUGGAAUUCCCAGUGUAGAGGUGAAAUUCGUAGAUAUUGGGAAGAACACCGGUGGCGAAGGCGGCUCUCUGGACCGAUACUGACGCUGAGGAGCGAAAGCGUGGGGAGCGAACAGG
rnacentral:rRNA from 1 species